UCGGGCGCGUGGCCGUGACGUCACAGGCGUCGUUUAAAUGCCCCGGAGCUCACCGGGGGAGAAGACAUUUAGCAGGCAGAGUGAAGGAGAGCAAAGUAGCUGUCAACACUCAACACACGGACUGCUCCACUCCUGCUCCACAACACUUGCCGACAAUGUUCCGCAGCAUUAAGGUGUUCGUGUUGUGUCACGGGCUGCUGCAGUUCUCCCAGCUGCUCUACAGCUCCUACUUCAAGAGCACCAUCAGCACCAUCGAGCGGCGCUACGGCCUCAGCAGCUACUCCUCGGGGACCAUCUCCUCCCUGCACGAGGUGAGCAACAGCCUGCUGAUCGUCUUCCUCAGCUACUUUGGCAACCGCCUUCACCGCCCUCGCGUCAUCGGGAUUGGCGGCGUGUUGAUGGCCGUCAGCGCCUUGAUCCUGACCUUGCCUCACUUCCUGUCCCAGCCCUACGACUACGACUCUCUCCUGCUGAACGGACUGGACGUCUGCGACCCGCACAGGAACUCCAGCGCCUCCGAGUCCUGCGGCCGCGACGAGAGCCGGCGCCUGGCCGACACCAAGACCCUGUGGCUCUUCAUGGCCGCCGCACAGCUGCUGUUCGGGGUGGGCUCGGUGCCCAUCCAGCCCUUCGGCAUCUCCUACAUCGACGACUUUGCCGCAGCCGGGAACUCUCCGCUCUACAUCGCCAUCUUGUUUGCUGUGUCCGUGUUCGGGCCGGCCAUGGGCUUCCUGCUGGGCUCGGUCAUGCUGCGGGUCUACGUGGACGUGGACAAAGGGGGUUUAGGGGCCCAGCAGGGGCUGAGGCCGGGAGACCCCCGCUGGGUGGGAGCCUGGUGGAUGGGCCUGCUCAUCACCUCCGCCUGCCUGGCGCUCACCUGCAUCCCCUACUUCUUCUUCCCUCGCAGGAUGCCUUCAGGGGAGCAUAUGAUCGAGAGUGGAUCCAACGCGAGCGACGACUUCAAGAAGCCUCACGUGUCUUUAUGCGACUUCUUGAAGAUGUUUCCCAGGAUGUUCUUCCACCUCCUGCUGAGCCCGCUCUUCCUCCUCCUGGUCUUGGCGCAGUGCUGCUUCUCCUCCGUCAUCGCCGGCCUCUCCACCUUCCUCAAAAAGUUCCUGGAGCGCCAAUACAGCGCCUCCACCGCCGACAGCAGUCUGCUCGUAGGUGCUGUGAACCUUCCGGCAGUGGCGGUGGGGAUGCUGAUUGGCGGUGUCAUCAUGAAGAAGACGGGAAUGUCUCUGAAGAACAUUCCACGCUUCUGCGUGGUCCUGUUGACCAUGUCCACCCUCCUCUUCAUCCCGCUCUUCUUCAUGGGCUGCUCCACGCAGAGAGUCUCCGAGGUCAAUCACUACCAAGUCGGGCGGCACGGGUCUCCGUCCAUGUGUUACGCCAACUGCUCGUGUCCCGCCGGCGCCUUCAACCCGGUGUGCGGCUCCGAUGGCGUGGAGUACAUCUCCCCGUGUCACGCGGGCUGCACCCACUUCACCAAAAACCCCAACCACACACACCUGGUCCAGCUUUACACCGACUGCAGGUGCAUACCCGGCAGCCAGAGCCACGCCAGGCCAGCGCCGUGUCCCAACAACUGUCCUCACUUCCUGCUGCCCGUCAUCCUGGUGGUCUCUGCGGGGGCGCUGAUGGCCUGCCUCACCCACAACCCCAUGUACAUGAUGCUGCUCAGGAGCGUACCAUCUGAAGAGAAGUCCUUUGCCAUCGGCGUUCAGUUCCUACUCCUGAGGCUUUUGGCCUGGCUUCCUGCGCCGGCUCUCUUCGGCAUGGCCAUCGACACCUCCUGCGUCUGGUGGAAGCGCGUGUGCGGCAGGAAGUUCAGCUGCGGUUACUACGACAACGACAUGUUGAGGAGCAGGUUCCUGGGCUUACAGGUGGGCUACAAGGUGAUGGGUGUGGUGCUGCUGGCCAUUCUGGGCUGGAAGGUGCAGCGGACUCAGGAGUACAGUCUGGAGAAGAGGCCUGACGGAGUGCUGUGAGGAACACCUCAGCUUCUGCAGGACUCACUCCAAUAGCUUUCUUCCCUACUUCCUGUCAGUACAGGCCAAAAGUUUGGACACACCUUCUCAUUGACAACACAACUGAUGGUCCCAACCCCAUUCAUAAAGCAAGACAUUCCUCUAAUCAACCCUGAUAAGGCACACCUGUGAAGUGAAAACCGUUUCAGGUGACUACCUCUUGAAGCUCAUGGAGAGAAAAAAAUAUAUAUAUGUGUGUGUAUGUAUGCUAUCCGUUAGUGGUGUUUUUAAAAAAUGUCAUUUUAAGUGGAUCCUGCACCUUCUUGCAUGUGUGAGGAAGUCUAACAUCUGACGUUUUUACAUCCUUGUACAGACUUUCAGUUAUUUAUGUACAUAUUUGUUUUAUUUUUUAUCACAUUUUUUUGUUGAGAUUUACCAAUAAAGCACACUUUUGCA